GAUGAACGCUGGCGGCGUGCCUAACACAUGCAAGUCGUGCGAUCGGACGAUAACGUGGCUACUCUGAUGUUAGCGGCGGACGUGACAGUAACAUGAGCAUAACCUACCUAUAAGACUGGGAUAACUUCGUGAAACCGGAGCUAAAACCGGAUGCUAUUUUGAACCGCAUGGUUCAAAAGUGAAAGACGGUCUUGCUGUAACUGAUAGAUGGAUCCGCGCUGCAUUAGCUAGUUGGUAAGGUAACGGCUUACCAAGGCAACGAUGCAUAGCCGACCUGAGAGGGUGUAGGGCCACUGUGAGACUGAGACGCGAUACUGGCUCCGAGGGACGGCCGCGGUAGGGAAGCGUCCGCGCUGUGCGGAAGACUGCCGGAGCGGCGCCGGCUGGGUGCUGAAGGUCUGCGUAUCGUAUGACUCUGUUAGUGGUGAAGAACGUAUGUAUAAGGGACUGAGCUCAUCUUGACGGUACCUGCUCAGGAAGCCACGGCUAACUACGUG
rnacentral:rRNA from 1 species